rnacentral:rRNA from 1 species
AGAGUUUGAUCCUGGCUCAGGACGAACGUGGCGGCGUGCUAACACAUGCAAGUCGAGCGAGGAAUUUCCUUCGGGAAAUUCCUAGCGGCGGACGGGUGAGUAACACGUGGGUAACCUGCCUCAUAGAGGGGGAUAGCCCUCCGAAAGAGAUUAAUACCGCAUAAUGUUGUUGAAUCGCAUGAUUCGAUAACCAAAGGAGCAAUCCGCUAUGAGAUGGACCCGCGGCGCAUUAGCUAGUUGGUGAGGUAAUGGCUCACCAAGGCGACGAUGCGUAGCCG